CCUACGGGAGGCAGCAGUGGGGAAUAUUGCACAAUGGGGGAAACCCUGAUGCAGCAACGCCGCGUGGGUGAAGGAGCGUUUCUGCGCGUAAAGCCCUGUCAGCGGGGAAGAAGAAAGACGGUACCCGACCAAGCAGCCCCGGCUAACUACGUGCCAGCAGCCGCGGUAAUACGUAGGGGGCGAGCGUUAUCCGGAAUUACUGGGUGUAAGGGGAGCGUAGACGGCGAGGUAAGCCUGAAGUGGAAGCCCGGGGCCCAACCGCGGAACUGCUUUGGGAACUGUUUUGCUGGAGUAUGGGAGGGGUAAGCGGAAUGCCUGGUGUAGCGGUGAAAUGCGUAGAUAUCAGGAGGAACACCGGUGGCGAAGGCGGCUUACUGGACCAUAACUGACGUUGAGGCUCGAAAGCGUGGGGAGCGAACAGGAUUAGAUACCCCAGUAGUC
rnacentral:rRNA from 1 species